rnacentral:rRNA from 1 species
CAAGUCUUGACAUCCCUCUGAAACCUCUAGAGAUAGAGGCGGCCUUCGGGACAGAGGUGACAGGUGCUGCAUGGCUGUCGUCAGCUCGUGUCGUGAGAUGUUGGGUUAGGUCCCGCGACGAGCGCAACCCUUGUCCUUAGUUACCAGCACGUAAUGGUGGGCACUCUAAGGAGACUGCCGGUGACAAACCGGAGGAAGGUGGGGAUGACGUCAAGUCCUCAUGGCCCUUAUGUGUAGGGCUUCACACGUCAUACAAUGGUACAUACAGAGGGCCGCCAACCCGCGAGGGGGAGCUAAUCCCAGAAAGUGUAUCGUAGUCCGGAUCGCAGUCUGCAACUCGACUGCGUGAAGUUGGAAUCGCUAGUAAUCGCGGAUCAGCAUGUCGCGGUGUAUACGUUCCC